CACAGCCAAAAAUAAAUAAAUUAAUAAAAGAAAAGAAAAAAAAUUAAAAAAAUAAUACUCAUAAUUGUCGGUAUUUUUUAUGUUAGCCAUCUUCACUGGUGUGUAGAAGUAUCUCAUUGUGGCUUUAAUUUGUAUUUGCCUAGUGGCUAAAGAUGUUGAGUGUCUUUUUAUGUGCUAAUUUUCCAUCUGUGUAUUCUCUCUGGUGCAGUGCCUGUUCAGAUCUUUUCUCCAUUUUUAAUUGAGUUGUUUGUUUUCUUAUCACUGACUUUUAAGAGUUUCUUUAAAUAGGCUGGAUAAAUGUCCUUUGUCAAAUAUGUGAUUUGUAAGUAAUUUCUCCCAGUCUUAGCUUAUCUUUUCAUUCUCUAAACAGUUUCUUUCGCAGAGCAAAAGUUUUUAAUUUUGAUAAAGUCCAAUUCAUCAAUUUUUUCUUGAAUUGUAUUUUUGGUGUCAUAUCUAAGCAGUUUUUGCCUAAUGAAAAUUUUCUCCUUUGUUUUCUUCUAGAAGUUUUAUACAUCAUAGUUCACAUAUAGAUCUAUGAUCCUUUUUAAAUUAAUUGUUAAUUAUGUUGUGCAGUUUAGGUUGAAGUUUUAUGAGGUUUCUUUUGGUUUGGUUUGGUUUGGUUUUUGCAUUUGGAUGUCCAGUUAUUCCAGUAACGUUUUUGAAAAGACUAUCUAUCCUCUGUUGAAGUGCUUUUGCAACUUUGUCAAAAAUCAAUUGGCCAUAUUUGGGCAAGCUUAUUUUUGGACUCUAUUCUGUUCCAUUAAUCUAUGUGUCCAUCUCUUGGCCAAUACCACACUGUCUUGACUACUGCAUAAAUCUUGUAGUAAAUCUUGAUAAUGGGUAAUGUAAUUCCUCCAACUUUAUUCUUCUUCAAAAUUAUUUUGGCUCUUCUUGAUCCUUUGCCUUUUCUUAUAAAUUUUAGAAGCAGCUUGUCCAUACCUACAAGAUAUGCUGCAGGGAUUUUGAAGAGAAUUGCAUUAAAAUUUAUAAAGCAACUUGGGAAAAAUUGACCUCUUUAUUAUGUUGAAUCUUUCAAUCCAUUAGCAUAACAGGUCUUAGCAUUUACUUAGGUCUUUGAUUUAUUUCAUCAGCAUCUUCUAGUUUUUAGUAUACAAAUCCUAUACAUGUGUUGUUAGAUUUAUAGCUAAGUAUUUCAUCUUUUUAGGGUUAUUGUAAGUGGUAUUUUUUAACUCCAGUUUGCAAUCGUUUAUUGUAAUUAUAUAGAAAUAUGAUUGAUUUUCUAUAUAUAGAAGUGUUUUUGUCUAUUACAUAGAAUCUUUUACAUCAAUCUUUUACAUGUUGUCU